CAAUAGCGUAUAUUAAUGUUGUUGCAGUUAAAAAGCUCGUAGUUGGAUAUCUGGCCUUUCGUACUUGGCCCGCCCUUCGGGGUUGUUGUGCCGAGUUGCGUGGGUCUUUUUUCCGGUUUGUGACCCUUUCGGGGGUUCACGGUCCGGAUCAUUUACUUUGAAAAAAUCCGAGUGUUCAUAGCAGGCUUACGCCGUGAAGAUUGCAGCAUGGAAUAAUAACAUAAGACUUGGCGUCUUAUUUGUUGGUUCUGAGAGCUAAGUAAUGAUUGAUAGGGACAGUUGGGGGUGCUGCUAUAGACUGGCCAGAGGUGAAAUUCUAAGACUCAGUCUAGAGCAACUUAUGCGAAAGCAUUCACCAAGGAUGUCUUCUUUA
rnacentral:rRNA from 1 species